CAGCCUUAUCUUCCUCAUUUCUGUUUCCUCUUGAAGACACCAAAGGCCCUUCAAAACACACGGCCUUCCUACUCCAGGCAAAAAGCUCAAUUAUAUCUGGCCUCUGCAGUUUGUCUCAUCACCAGGGAACCUUUGCCUCCUCUGAGAACAAGGCACCACUCCAGUAACAGGCACACCCACAGGGUCUGAGCCAAAGUGCCUGAGACCACCUAUAUGGGAAGCUCUGGAAAGCUCAACAAACUCUUUCCUAACGAUUCUGCCAGGGUCACAUCUCCCAGGAAGAUUUUGCCUCCCCACUGAAGCCCCUGGUCUGGCCUCCUGCAGUGUCAUGCUCCGUGUAUUUGACAAGCUGAGUUGGACACUCCAUGUGGCAGAGUGUCAGUUUGUCAAAUACCCCAAGUGCGGCACAUGCCUAACAGCUCCAGGCCAGGGUAGUUGGGAUAUAACAAAUAAACUGCUGCUGGAUACAAGAUCACUUGCCAAACAAAAACUAAGCUCUCACAAGUUAUUUUCAGUGACUUUGAAGGGACUGAAGCAUUGUAUCUGAGGUUGCCAGGGGGAAAGUGAGGUGAUUCUUGAAGCUCCAGUCUAUACUGUUUCUAUAUUGUCAGAACCUGAGGGAGGGAUAAUGGUCUUGGAAAAGUACAUAGGGCCUAGGGAUGGAAGUGCUCUUUGAUUCAUAUUUUCUUUCUUCACAUUACUCUACAGAAUCUUCCAGUAAGGAUAUCAGAAUUUUCACACAAGCUUCAUGACAGGGCUUAGAAAUCUACUUUCCUAAUUCUCAGCUUUUUUUUUAAAUUUAUUUUUUAUUUAUUUUCAGCAUAACAGUAUUCAUUAUU